rnacentral:misc_RNA from 1 species
AAGUCGUAACAAGGUAACCGUAGGUGAACCUGCGGUUGGAUCAUUAACAAAAACGGCAUGGGCUGCUUAAAAUUGCCCUACGCAUAAGAUACACUAUGAGUAGCAGAGUGCCUUCUCGGCUAUUGAUAAAUCUUAUGCGUAUCCUUCGGGAAACAUUGUGUGCACUGUUUUAGUCUCUGGCGGCGGGGCAAGUGUGGGCAUACACUCCAGUAUGUACUUCUAUGCUUGCCUGUCAGCCUGGUGUAAAAAGCCAGGGCCGUGGACAAACCGCCAAAAUAUUAAACAACUUGUAUUUUUCAACAUUGAGUCUGACAUUAAUUUAUAUUAAAUUAUACAAACAACUUUUGGCAACGGAUCUCUUGGCUCUC